GACGAACGCUGGCGGCGUGCUUAACACAUGCAAGUCGAACGAAGAGCGAUGGAAGCUUGCUUCUAUCAAUCUUAGUGGCGAACGGGUGAGUAACGCGUAAUCAACCUGCCCUUCAGAGGGGGACAACAGUUGGAAACGACUGCUAAUACCGCAUACGAUCUAAUCUCGGCAUCGAGGAUAGAUGAAAGGUGGCCUCUACAUGUAAGCUAUCACUGAAGGAGGGGAUUGCGUCUGAUUAGCUAGUUGGAGGGGUAACGGCCCACCAAGGCGAUGAUCAGUAGCCGGUCUGAGAGGAUGAACGGCCACAUUGGGACUGAGACACGGCCCAGACUCCUACGGGAGGCAGCAGUGGGGAAUCUUCCGCAAUGGACGAAAGUCUGACGGAGCAACGCCGCGUGAGUGAUGACGGCCUUCGGGUUGUAAAGCUCUGUUAAUCGGGACGAAAGGCCUUCUUGCGAAUAGUUAGAAGGAUGACGGUA
rnacentral:rRNA from 1 species